rnacentral:tRNA from 1 species
GGCACAGUGAUGCAACUGGAAAGACAUCUCAUACUCAAAAUAUGAGUUUUGCAGGUUCGAGUCCUGUCUGUGCUA